rnacentral:rRNA from 1 species
UACGUAGGGGCUAGCGUUGUCCGGAAUCAUUGGGCGUAAAGCGCGUGUAGGCGGUCCGGUAAGUCUGCUGUGAAAGUCGGGGGCUCAACCUCGAAUGCCGGUGGAUACUGUCGGGCUAGAGUGCGGAAGAGGCGAGUGGAAUUCCUGGUGUAGCGGUGAAAUGCGCAGAUAUCAGGAGGAACACCUAUUGCGAAGGCAGCUCGCUGGGACGUAACUGACGCUGGAGACGGCGAAAGCGUGGGGAGCAAACAGG